AUUGAACGCUGGCGGCAUGCCUUACACAUGCAAGUCGAACGGCAGCACGGGAGCAAUCCUGGUGGCGAGUGGCGAACGGGUGAGUAAUAUAUCGGAACGUGCCCGGUCGUGGGGAUAACGUAGCGAAAGCUACGCUAAUACCGCAUACGAUCUACGGAUGAAAGCGGGGGAUCGCAAGACCUCGCGCGAUUGGAGCGGCCGAUAUCAGAUUAGGUAGUUGGUGAGGUAAAGGGCUCACCAAGCCGACGAUCUGUAGCUGGUCUGAGAGGACGACCAGCCACACUGGGACUGAGACACGGCCCAGACUCCUACGGGAGGCAGCAGUGGGGAAUUUUGGACAAUGGGCGCAAGCCUGAUCCAGCAAUGCCGCGUGCAGGAUGAAGGCCUCGG
rnacentral:rRNA from 1 species